UACAGAGGGUGCAAGCGUUGUUCGGAAUUAUUGGGCGUAAAGGGCGCGUAGGCGGUGCGGUAAGUCUGUAGUGAAAUCUCUGGGCUCAACUCAGAGUCUGCUAUAGAAACUGCCGUGCUUGAGUGUGGGAGAGGUUUGUGGAAUUCCUGGUGUAGCGGUGAAAUGCGUUGAUAUCAGGAGGAACACCCAUGGCGAAGGCAGCAAACUGGCCGGCAUCUGACGCUGAGGCGCGAAAGCGUGGGUAGCAAACAGG
rnacentral:rRNA from 1 species